UUACUACAUCGCAGUCUUUUUGGGGUUAAAAAGGGUUAGAGGGCAAGCCGUGCGACCCGGCCGGCAUGUGGUGUCUGGCAGGUCACGGACCGCAACUUGCCAACUUUGGCGGAAUGCGUUGUAGUUGCAAUCAGCAGUGUGUUGAUGCUGUGUUCAGAGAGAUAUCUAUUGUGGAUCAACUCUGGGAUCGGGGACCGUUCCAGAAUCGUGCAGCCGUUAGGUUCACAGUACAAGCACCAAGAACGAGAUAUACAAGAGAGAUAGUGUUCCAUUUCGAAGAU